ACACUAGACCUAUCAAACCCAACAACAACCAUGCAUUCGUCCCCCACACAACUGCACACCAAUCCCACCUUCUAACUUUGAUUACUCCAACACCAAUCAACAAUCAUCAACCACCGAUCUUAGAACCCCAACCCCUCUUAUUCACACAACUAUGUAAUGACUUUCCUCCCAAUAUCGAUUUUGAGAAUUUUGAUACAUUCCAAAAUUUUCCCGACCAACUCCCUGUUUU
rnacentral:lncRNA from 1 species